rnacentral:rRNA from 1 species
CCUACGGGUGGCAGCAGUGAGGAAUAUUGGUCAAUGGGCGGGAGCCUGAACCAGCCAAGCCGCGUGAGGGAAGAAGGUACAGCGUAUCGUAAACCUCUUUUGUCAGGGCACAAAGGCGGGGACUAGUCCCCUGAUGAGGGUACCUGAAGAAAAAGCAUCGGCUAACUCCGUGCCAGCAGCCGCGGUAAUACGGAGGAUGCGAGCGUUAUACGGAUUUAUUGGGUUUAAAGGGUGCGCAGGGGGCCUGUUAAGUCAGCGGUAAAAGCCCGGGGCUCAACCCCGGCGAGCCGUUGACACUGGCGGGCUGGAGUUGGAGAGAAGUACGCGGAAUGCGCGGUGUAGCGGUGAAAUGCGUAGAUAUCGCGCAGAACCCCGAUUGCGAAGGCAGCUUACUAAACUAUAACUGACACUGAAGCACGAAAGCGUGGGGAUCAAACAGGAUUAGAUACCCCUGUAGUC